rnacentral:rRNA from 1 species
GAUGAACGUUGGCGGCGUGGAUUAGGCAUGCAAGUCGAGCGAGAAGAGUUUGGUAGCUUGCUAUUGAACUCGGAAAGCGGCGAAAGGGAGAGUAACGCGUAGUUACGUGCCCCAGGGUUCGGAAUAGCCACGGGAAACUGUGGGUAAUGCCGAAUAACAUCUCCGGAUCAAAGGUGUGAUUCCGCCCUGGGAGCGGACUGCGUCCUACUAGCUAGUUGGCGGGGUAAUGGCCCACCAAGGCAACAAUGGGUAGCGGGUGUGAGAGCAUGACCCGUCUCACUGGGACUGAGACACUGCCCAGACACCUACGGGUGGCUGCAGUCGAGAAUCUUCGGCAAUGGGCGAAAGCCUGACCGAGCGACGCCGCGUGCGGGAUGAAGGCCCUCGGGUCGUAAACCGCUGUCGUAGGGGAGGAAGGCUCCAUGAAGAAUGGGGUUUGACCUAUCCUAGGAGGAAGUACGGGCUAAGUUCGUGCCAGCAGCCGCCGUAA